AGCGAACGCUGGCGGCAGGCCUAACACAUGCAAGUCGAACGAGACCUUCGGGUCUAGUGGCGCACGGGUGCGUAACGCGUGGGAAUCUGCCCUUGGGUUCGGAAUAACAGUUGGAAACGACUGCUAAUACCGGACGAUGACGUAAGUCCAAAGAUUUAUCGCCCAGGGAUGAGCCCGCGUAGGAUUAGCUAGUUGGUGGGGUAAAGGCCUACCAAGGCGACGAUCCUUAGCUGGUCUGAGAGGAUGAUCAGCCACACUGGGACUGAGACACGGCCCAGACUCCUACGGGAGGCAGCAGUGGGGAAUAUUGGACAAUGGGCGAAAGCCUGAUCCAGCAAUGCCGCGUGAGUGAUGAAGGCCUUAGGGUUGUAAAGCUCUUUUACCCGGGAUGAUAAUGACAGUACCGGGAGAAUAAGCCCCGGCUAACUCCGUG
rnacentral:rRNA from 1 species